CGCUACGUGACCUGCGGAGGGUCAUUACACAAAUAUGAAGGCGGGCUGGAACCUCUCGGGGUUACAGCCUUGCUGAAUUAUUCACCCUUGUCUUUUGCGUACUUCUUGUUUCCUUGGUGGGUUCGCCCACCACUAGGACAAACAUAAACCUUUUGUAAUUGCAAUCAGCGUCAGUAACAAAUUAAUAAUUACAACUUUCAACAACGGAUCUCUUGGUUCUGGCAUCGAUGAAGAACGCAGCGAAAUGCGAUAAGUAGUGUGAAUUGCAGAAUUCAGUGAAUCAUCGAAUCUUUGAACGCACAUUGCGCCCUUUGGUAUUCCAAAGGGCAUGCCUGUUCGAGCGUCAUUUGUACCCUCAAGCUUUGCUUGGUGUUGGGCGUCUUGUCUCUAGCUUUGCUGGAGACUCGCCUUAAAGUAAUUGGCAGCCGGCCUACUGGUUUCGGAGCGCAGCACAAGUCGCACUCUCUAUCAGCAAAGGUCUAGCAUCCAUUAAGCCUUUUUUUCAACUUUUGACCUCGGAUCAGGUAGGGAUACCCGCUGAACUUAA
rnacentral:rRNA from 1 species